GAAACGACCGCAACGCCGCCGUGAUGACCACGACACGAUGGUCUUCAUUCCCCAUUCCGCUCACGCUCUUCUUCUCUGAGCUUAGUUAUCUCUCGGUUGUUGACGAUGCAGUGAAGACGAAUCGCGAAGGCGCUUGAUGAUGUUGAUGUUUGCAGCGCAUAGAUAGUGAAGAUGGUGAUUGUUCAGGACCUUGAAUGGUGAUCUCUGAAGGCUUAUGAAGACUGAAGCGUGAAGCCCGAAUUGAAAGAGACUGAGAGCCAAAAUCGGUUAAAGUUCUAUGGUGAAGGAGUGGUUGUGAAGAAAUGGUGAAGAGAGUGAAGAAGAUGAAGGUAAAUUGUGGAGAAUUGAAGAUGAAUGAAGGGGAUGAUGAAGGGUUAGAAGUGAAGAAUGGUUGAGAGUGAUGAAUGUUGAAGAAGCAGAGUGGUGAAGAAGAGAAUGAAUGUGAAGGGAUUGUGAAAGUGAAGUGAGGAGACUGAAGA